UACGGAGGAUCCAAGCGUUAUCCGGAUUUAUUGGGUUUAAAGGGUGCGUAGGCGGCCUAUUAAGUCAGGGGUGAAAGACGGUGGCUCAACCAUCGCAGUGCCUUUGAUACUGAUGGGCUUGAAUGAACCUGAGGUAGGCGGAAUGUGACAAGUAGCGGUGAAAUGCAUAGAUAUGUCACAGAACACCAAUUGCGAAGGCAGCUUACUAAAGUUUAAUUGACGCUGAGGCACGAAAGCGUGGGGAUCAAAC
rnacentral:rRNA from 1 species